rnacentral:rRNA from 1 species
CCUACGGGAGGCAGCAGUGGGGAAUCUUGCACAAUGGGGGAAACCCUGAUGCAGCGACGCCGCGUGAGCGAUGAAGCCCUUCGGGGUGUAAAGCUCUUUCGGCAGGAACGAUAAUGACGGUACCUGCAGAAGAAGCUGCGGCUAACUACGUGCCAGCAGCCGCGGUAAUACGUAGGCAGCAAGCGUUGUUCGGAAUUACUGGGCGUAAAGAGUGUGUAGGUGGUGUCGUAAGUUUGGUGUGAAAUCUCCCGGCUUAACUGGGAGGGUGCGCCGAAGACUG